AAGUAAUACAUCGUUAGCAAAUCAGCUAGCCAAUAACAAAAUUAAUAAUAUAAACAUACCUAAUCUUAAUAAAUAUUCUGAACAACACAACAUAGAAAAGUUAAACACUGUUAAUAUUUAUAAUUCAUGUAUUAAUAAUGUUAUUUCCAAAGAAAACAACAUUAAUAAUAAUAUUUAUGUAAGCAAUAAAAACCCACAUUUCAUUAGUAGUACUAGUAAUAAUUAUGCCAACAGAAAUGUAAAAAAUCACAUCAACCCUAAUGCUGACCAAGGCAUAUGCAUAAGUAGUGACAUAAACCAAAAAGAAGAAAAUACAAUAAAAAGUAAAAUUCUUGUGGAAAAACAAAAUGUAUUAAAUGUUAAUAGCUGCUUGAUUAAUCAAAAGAAUGUAACUAAUUCAAAAACAACAAACGAUUAUAAUAAAGAUAAUAUAAUUAAAUAUCCCGAACACAAAUUAAUAGAAAGUUAUAAUAUAAAUAACAAAAAUGAAAAUUAUUUUAAAUUGUAUAAUAAUACUGUUCAAAAAAAAAAUAUUGAUUGUUUAAUAAAGAAAGAGUCAUUUUCACAAAAUUGUAAUAUAAAUAAGUCAUGUAUAAAUAAGGAUUUCUUAAAUUGUUACUCUUUUAAAUGUACAAAGGAAGAAGAACAACACAAAAAGUAUAGUACUACAAUUACUCCUGACGGCGUUCUUACUACUAUAAAUGCUUUUCCUCUUACCGAUACAGAUAAUACACACAUAAAACAAAAGGUUCAAAAUUUUAUGCAUGUGUUAAAAAACGAAAAAUUAAAAAAAGUAAAUGCUUAUUCAGCUUUGUCUGAACCGAAAAUGUACUACUCCACAAUGAAUAAAUUACAUAAUGUUAAUAAACUUAAUACAUAUAAUAAUGGAAGACCAAUUGAAAGAGCAAGUAGCAACAUAAGUAAUAACAAAUUAAGUGACUAUGUAUAUAGUAACAACCCUUAUAGUAAAUCAUGUUAUAACAAGGUAAGUGCUAACGCCUACAAUAACAAUAACACAAGUGUUACGAACAAAAUUAACAACGUACAACAAAUAAAAAUACCUACUAUGAAUUCUAAAAGUUUAGAAAUUUAUAAAGAAUGUUACUUAGGAAUAGAAAAAAACAAUAAUAUGGAAAAAAGUAAUAAUGAGUACACAUAUAGUAACUUAAAAGAUAAUAAAAUAGCUAACAAUGUUAAAAAUAACUACAACAUGAGUGGCACUUAUAGUAAUGCCAUUUAUAGUAAUGGAAACAGUAGCACUAACGAUGAUAACCGUUACAAUUUUAACAUAUAUUAUACGCAAAAAAAUGUAACAGAAAAUGCAACAAAAAAUGUAACAACAAAUGUAACAACAAAUGUAACAACAAAUGUAACAAAAAAUGUAACAAAAAAUGUAACAGAAAAUGUAACAAAAAAUGUAACAGAAAAUGUAACAGAAAAUGUAACAAAAAAUGUAACAGAACAUGAUUGUGCACAUAAUGUUAAAAACGAGGUAAAAAAUGAUAUACAAGUUGAAAA
rnacentral:lncRNA from 1 species